rnacentral:lncRNA from 1 species
GGCCGCGCAGCCCGAGCGCCCCCAAGCGGUGGCGGGUCUGCGCGGGCCGCGCCCCCGGCGCCGGGGAUUCGGGGAUCCUGGCGUGGGAAGCGGCGCGCUCUGCUAAUAAAUCGGCUUGCGCUCGCGGGGCCCGCAGGUCAACUAUCAUCAUUACACUCAGACUCACUGAGAUUAGGUUAUAAGAAGGCAGCUGGAAUCGCCCGAGUCGCUGUGGGAGCGUCAGUGAGUAACAGCCAGGCCAGCUGAGCCGGCAUGGAAAUACGUUCAGACUCCGGACUUGUUUAUCUCGGGGCUCUUAGCUCCGUCCACUGUUCUGCUCAGAACAUCAGACUCCUAGAUGUGUGCUCAGUCCCGCUUCCUUGCUUCCUCCGAAAGCCUCACUCCUGGGAAACGGGAUCUCUCCUGCAACUAGGGUCCACGACGAGGGUCCUACGGGCUGGGGGCGGGGCCACUUGGCCCCGGGAACAAUGAGGCCAUUGCCUCUUCUGCGUGCUGCGGGCCGGAUAUCCGUUCUGAAGGCGGCUCUGGGCUUUCUCUGUCCAGAAGGAGGAAACCUUCGGUCACCAGGGCUGCAAGGAAAUAGCAGGGAGGUGCCCCGAGGAACGGAGAACAAUUAUGCAUGGAGAAUAUAAAGAAAUGAGCAAACUUUCCUGGCCUUGGACAGCGAUUCCAGUUAUCCGGGAUUAUCUUCUUUCCUGGUGUAAAUACCUUCAUGCCACCAUUCCCUAGUGUCUGGAUUUGGGUCAGUGGGCCUCACUUAACUUCUCUGCAAAGUAGGGCCAAGUGGUUUGCCUGUCAGAAGGCAGAGAGCUGAACAGAUAACUCCUUAGGCAACUUGCAGCCCUCCAGGAAAUAUUAUUCUGAGUUUUGCCACCUAUCCACAUGCCCAGAGCACUAAUUUGUGAUGAAAGGGACUCUAUUAGGAAGAAAGUCUCUUAAAAGCUGCAGCAUAUUAAAAUCCAUCAACUUUAGGGCUCGGGCUGUAGCUCAAUGGCCUAGCGUGUGUGAGGCGCUGGGUUGGAUCCUUAGCACCACAUAAAAAUAAAUCAAAUAAAGGCAUCUGUUC